AAUUGUUACAAUAGAAACACUAACAAACCUAUUUACUGCUACUAAGCAAAUUUUUGGUUGUUUUAGCCUCUUUUGGGAGAAAAUGGGUAUAAGUGUUGUCUAAACACUCCAAAUCCAUCUCUAACUCUUAUAAUUAGCAAAGGCUUUGGAUUGUGACACAUUUUGACCAUAGAAAUACUAACAAAGCAAUUUACUGCCUCUAAGCAAUUUUUUGUUGGUUUUAGCCGCUUCUUGGAGAAAAUGGGUAUAAGUGAUGUCUAAACACUCUUAAUCCAUCUUUAACUCUUAUAAUUAGUCAAAUGCAUUGGACUGUGACACAUUCUGACCAUCAAAACACUUACAGAACUGUUUACUGCUUCUAAACAAUUUUUUGUUUGUUUUAGCCUCUUUGGGGAGAAAAUGGGUAUAAGUGUUGUCUAAACACUCCUAAUCCAUCUCUAACUCUUAUAAUUAGUC
rnacentral:sRNA from 1 species